rnacentral:rRNA from 1 species
UACGAAGGGGGCUAGCGUUGCUCGGAAUCACUGGGCGUAAAGGGUGCGUAGGCGGGUCUUUAAGUCAGGGGUGAAAGCCUGUGGCUCAACCACAGAAUUGCCUUUGAUACUGUUUGGCUCGAGACCGGAAGAGGUUGGUGGAACUGCGAGUGUAGAGGUGAAAUUCGUAGAUAUUCGCAAGAACACCAGUGGCGAAGGCGGCCAACUGGUCCGGAUCUGACGCUGAGGCGCGAAAGCGUGGGGAGCAAACAGG